GCUGAUAAAAACCUAUUCACAGUACCUUUUCAACAUGAAAUUGAAGAUUUGGAGGUAAUGACCAAAUUAAAGAUGAGAAGUGGAUCAGAGUGAAAUCAUCUACGAAUACUUUCAUUAUUAUCGCUGGAGAUUCUCUAUGUACACUUAGGAAACGGUAGAACUCGUGCUCCGUAUCGCCGAGUAAGAGUAGCAGGAAAAAGAUGAUAAGAUACACAGCAGCAAUAUGAGAUAAUCUGGUUUUGGACACGUGAAAAUUAACUUUUCACAGCAGCAAUAUGAUAUGAUUUUCACGUAUCCAAAACCGGACUAUAUCAUAGAGGCACCAAAGAACUUGUGGACGAGAAGCAUCCACGUCUCUUCAGACGACCCGUAGAUUACCGCGACUUGUUUACCUUCUAUCACUCAGAAGCUGGUCGUAAAGUUCAAUCUACUCUUCAAGCUUACAUGUGUGCGCUUGAUUCCAAGUUUUAACAGAGUUAGGUGAUUUUAAGUUUGUCAAAAACCAUGUAGUAAGAAAAAAGGGUUUUUGAUUAGUUGAGUCAUGUCUGUUUCUGUGUGAUUCGUCUUUAUAUGGAUUUUUUUGGAGGUCUAAGUCUUUGUGUUGUAUGAAAAUCAAUAGAGUAUGUGUGCAUGCAUGCACAUGCACAUGUACAAUAAUGUAAUAAAUUAUUGUAUUUGUAUUUGUAUUUGUUGAUGGCUCCAAAUAAUAAUAGUGUUUAUGG